AGGCUAGUGAGAUGUAGAGAAGCUACAAACAGAAAAGAGGCUAUUGCUUCUGACAACAUGAAAGCCACUGAAACCUUAAGACCAGUGAAGAUGGAAGCCAACUAACUGUACAGGUGGAAGGGCAAAUGGGAGAAUGGUGUUAUGGGGCUGAAUUUGAUGAACGCAGAUUCCCAUCCCAACAUAAUUCCUGUCAUCAUCCACCAAGAGGUUUAGGAAGAAUCUUCCAGCAAGCCUUUUCUCAGAUCCCAAGUAUUUUAUAGCACGAUCCAUACUCAUGAAGGUGAACGAGAGCUUGUCUUCAAGGUUUAUAACCUGGGAGGCAAGAGCCAGAAGGAACAGGUAAAGAGGGCUGUUGGUGGGGCCAGCGGUCUUCCUUUA
rnacentral:lncRNA from 1 species